GACGAACGCUGGCGGCGUGCUUAACACAUGCAAGUCGAGCGGUAAGGCCCCUCGGGGUACACGAGCGGCGAACGGGUGAGUAACACGUGGGUGACCUGCCCUCAGCUUCGGGAUAAGCCUGGGAAACCGGGUCUAAUACCGGAUAGGACACAUGCUGUAUGGCUGUGUGUGGAAAGUUUUUUCGGCUGGGGAUGGGCCCGCGGCCUAUCAGCUUGUUGGUGGGGUGAUGGCCUACCAAGGCGGUGACGGGUAGCCGGCCUGAGAGGGCGACCGGCCACACUGGGACUGAGACACGGCCCAGACUCCUACGGGAGGCAGCAGUGGGGAAUAUUGCGCAAUGGGCGGAAGCCUGACGCAGCGACGCCGCGUGGGGGAUGACGGCCUUCGGGUUGUAAACCUCUUUCGCCAGGGACGAAGCUUUUGUGACGGUACCUGGAGAAGAAGCACCGGCCAACUACGUGCCAGCCGCCGCGGUAA
rnacentral:rRNA from 1 species